rnacentral:rRNA from 1 species
UACGAAGGGGGCUAGCGUUGCUCGGAAUCACUGGGCGUAAAGGGUGCGUAGGCGGGUCUUUAAGUCAGGGGUGAAAUCCUGGAGCUCAACUCCAGAACUGCCUUUGAUACUGAGGAUCUUGAGUUCGGGAGAGGUGAGUGGAACUGCGAGUGUAGAGGUGAAAUUCGUAGAUAUUCGCAAGAACACCAGUGGCGAAGGCGGCUCACUGGCCCGAUACUGACGCUGAGGCGCGAAAGCGUGGGGAGCGAACGGG